GCAGGGCCCAGCAAGGUUCACAGUAUGACCAUCGUCCUGCUUUCUGUGUGAUCGAGUUCGACGAUGCCAGAGAGAGAGACAAGACAUGGCAGAAGCGGGAGUGUUAGAAUUGUAUGAGCUGCACUACUCUGAUUUGUUGCUGUUAUCAUCAACUUCACCGGUACCAGAAGAGGGAGAAGAAAGAGCGGAGAAAAUAAAGAAAACAAUAAUGGAAACCCUAGGCCCAACUGGCCCAGGACUUCUUUCCAUCACUGGUGUCCCUAAAGCUUCCAUUCUUCGAAAAAGGCUCCUCCCUCUCGCUCGCAAGCUCGCUCUUCUCGGCCACGAUCGCCGCAAACACAUCCUCAAGGAGCACAACUUGGGUAGUGAUGUUCCUCUGAAGAACCCGGAUAGAAAUGUGUCCUCUUUUGCAAUGCAACUCAAAUAUGCUCAAGCUCUAGAAUCUGCUCUGGAUAAAACGAAUAAUGGAGGCCGUUGUAAUUUGAAUUUAGAAUCAGCUCAUCUGGAUGACAAUGAUGAUGAAGAGACAGGCUCUCCGGAAGAUGAAUUUGCAAAUCUUUCUGAUAUCUUUAGGGAGCUGGGAUAUUGCAUGAUGGAGCUGGGGCUUCGUGUUACGCAAAUAUGUGAUAUGGCCCUUGGCGGUCAACAGUUGGAACGGAGCUUACUGGAAUCAGGGACAGCAAAAGGACGCCUUAUACAUUACCAUUCUUCUCUAGACAACCUACUCAUAAAAGCAAGUGGGAGAAGGAAGGGAUCCACAAAAAAGCAGGCUUAUUGUGAGAAGAACCAAGUGCUGUUAUUAAGAAGUGAGCAAAAGCAAUCAGAACGCUGUAACUUGGUUGCAAGUGGUAAGGAAGUUAGAUCAAGUGGAAAUCAGGGAAACCUAUGGCAGCAGUGGCAUUAUGAUUAUGGUAUCUUCACUGUUCUGACAGCACCCAUGUUUCUUAUGCCCUCCCAAUUGUCAGAAAAUACCGCAACAGAUCAAUUUCUAGUUUUGUGUGAUCAAGACUGCCCUUUCCCAACUGGACAUUCAUAUUUGCAAAUCUUUGAUGCCAAUACAAAUGAUGUCCUCAUGGUGAAAACUUCUUCAGAAAGUUUCAUCAUUCAGGUCGGUGAAUCGGCUGAUAUCUUAUCGAGAGGAAAGCUUCGCUCAACCCUUCAUUGUGUUUGCAGACCCCCAAACUUAGAAAAUCUAAGCAGGGAAACUUUUGUUGUGUUUUUGCAACCUGCAUGGAGCAAAACUUUCUCAUUCUCAGAUUAUAAUGUGCAUCACAGCAUGUUAGGUCGCCAUUCUUCAAAUGAGGGAGAUGGCCUUACUGAGCAUGACUUUAAUGAAGUAGCUCGAGAAAUUCAUAAAAUCGUUCCCCCACUUUCAUCACGGUUGAAGGAUGGGAUGACAUUCGCAGAAUUCUCACGUGAAACUACCAAGCAAUAUUAUGGAGGCAGCGGUUUACAAUCAAACAGUUAGCUCCUUGCCUUUCUAUUAGCAGUCGGAUUCAAUUUUGGGUAAGACUUCUGAUUUCUGUUCUGUUAUCUCUUUGCUUGAUGUUUUUUAUGGGUGAAAGAGAUGGAUAUAUAGAUUAAUUUUGUGAGAAAAUAGUUUCUUGAAUCAAACAUAUUUGGUAACUCACCAAUGACCUACCUUCCUUGUGUAGCUAAAGAUCUGCACUGGUUUGGUCUCUGUGAGUUUCAUGAUACCAUAUAAUGUGAGCAGUUACCAUAGGCCUUUGAGCUUGGUUGGGUGGUUGCUAUUAGUAUAUGACAGUGGGGCUAUUUUUUGGAAUAAAAGCUGCAAUUUAAGCUACUGAUGCUUCCAUUACCUAGAACAGUUGAUGGUGGAUUCUUACAUCCUGAAUAUAGAGACAGGCGGACCGGCAGAUAAUUCGUCUUCAAUGGUCUGUAGAGGGACAGGUCCAAGGUUACUUCAUAUUUGCUAUGAAGGGAUGAUCUUUGAAGUGCCAAUCAUAGCUUCUCUACAUGUCAUUAAGGUUGACAAAGUCAAGAUGCAGGCGCUGUCUUCUCCUUGAUUUCUAGCUGGGUCAGUCGUGUUCCUUCCAUGUAAGGGAGACAGCAACUGGAUUUAGAUUAGUGUCUGUUCUAGUCAGUCUUAUUAGCCAGGCAGGCCCCUAGCCUGGCACGAGCCCACUUUUAUGAUGUACCACUGGCUAUGCAUUGAGACACAUAAUCUUAGUGUCUCGUUGCCUGUUCCAUUCGUUAGCCGUUUGAAACGGCUAAACGAGAACCAGCAAUCCUGUUUGCCAUGCAUUCACCAUUUUGAUAGCAACUUCGUUAUGGUAAUGUUGGGCAAAAGUUUCUGGGGUAAGAAAUUCUAACAUAGGGCCACAGUGCUGAACACUUCUUUUACAUACAUGUAAGUUUUUAUUUUUUUUAUUGUAGUGUAUGAACCUUACUAGCAGCACCCAGCCUGAAAAAAGUAAAAAAAGAAAGAAAAAAAAAGAGGUGGGGUUGGAACGGCUUGGAAAUUUCAUUUCAUUUCAUGUAAAGUGACAAAGAAUUAGAGGUUUGAAUAAAUUAGCUUUGAAAAUGUAUUAUAAAGCUAGAUCAACCAUUGAAA